GAUGAACGCUAGCGGCAGGCCUAAUACAUGCAAGUCGAACGAGAUUAAGGACUUCGGUCUUUAUGAAAGUGGCGCACGGGUGCGUAACACGUAUGCAACCUACCUUCAAUUGGGGGAUAGCCUUCCGAAAGGGAGAUUAAUACCGCAUAAAACAGCAGAAUGGCAUCAUUUAACUGUUAAGACUCCGGUGAUUGAAGAUGGGCAUGCGUUGCAUUAGCUAGUUGGUAAGGUAACGGCUUACCAAGGCUACGAUGCAUAGGGGAUCUGAGAGGAUGGUCCCCCACACUGGUACUGAGAUACGGACCAGACUCCUACGGGAGGCAGCAGUAAGGAAUAUUGGUCAAUGGACGCAAGUCUGAACCAGCCAUGCCGCGUGCAGGAUGACGGCCCUAUGGGUUGUAAGCUGCUUUUGUCAGGGAAUAAAUCAUUUUACGUGUAAGAUGUCGAAGGUACCUGAAGAAUAAGGAUCGGCUAACUCCGUGCCAGCAGCAGCCGCAG
rnacentral:rRNA from 1 species